CAAUUAAGUUGUGGAGAUUUCCCCAACCUUGUUUGUACGGGUUCGGUGACCGCCCUCAAGGGUCCCUUAGUGGAAUCACGGCAUCUUGCAUUGUGCGAGGGUGUGAGGAGAUUACAGUGGCCUUAGUGGCAUCUUGGGGACCAUUGUGCCUCCACACCACUCCAAGCGGAGAUUAGCAUCCGCAAGGGUGUGAACUUCAUGAUACAUCGUCGUCUCCGCGUGCCUCGAUUAUCUCUUACCCUAGCUCUUUACUUAUGCACUUUACUUUGUGAUAGCCAUUUUGUUUCUUGUUAUAUAUCUUGCUAUCACUUGGUUGUUUAUCUUGCUUAGCAUAAGUUGGUUGUGCACAUAGGUGAGCCUAGUUGUUUUAGGUUUUGUGCUUGGCAAAUUAAAUUUUAGUUUUAUUCCACAUUUGUUCAAGCCUAAACCGUAAUUAUUUUAAAGCACCUAUUCACCCCCCUCUAGGCGACAUUCACGUCCUAUCACUAUGCGUGAAAUUAAUUAUCAGUAUUAUUAUGAUGGGCAAAUAU
rnacentral:lncRNA from 1 species